rnacentral:rRNA from 1 species
AUUGAACGCUGGCGGCAGGCCUAACACAUGCAAGUCGAACGAGUGGCGGAAGGGUGAGGAAUGUCUGGGAAACUGCCUGAUGGAGGGGGAUAACUACUGGAAACGGUAGCUAAUACCGCAUACCAUCGGAUGUGCCCAGAUGGGAUUAGCGAGUAGGGGGGGUAACGGGUCACCUAGGCGACGAUCCCUAGCUGGUCUGAGAGGAUUACCAGCCACACUGUAACGGAGACACGGUCCAGACUCCUACGGGAGGAAGCAGUGGGGAAUAGUGCACAAUUGGCGCAAGCCUGAUGCUGCCAUGCCGCGUGUAUGAAGAAGGCCUUCGGGUUGUAAAGUACUUUCAGCGGGGAGGCGUUACCCGAAGAAGAAGCACCGGCUAACUCCGUGCCAGCAGCCGCGGUAAUUC